GAACAAUUCAACUUGAAUGUUUUCAUUUAUUGGACUAAAUUGUGGCUGAACAUAGUAGACUUUAUUCAUUAUUAUCUGGAAUUAAUCUUAAACCUAAAUUUCAUGUAUUGACCUAUUAUGGGGGACCUUUAUUGUUGAUUUCUUCGAUUAGAUUUGAAAUACAUAACAUACAAAACAAACAAUCAAACAAGUAUUGUUUUUUAUAUAUUAGAUAUGAUAAAAUCAAUAAUAAUAAGCAACAAUUAAAUACCCAUUUAAAUAACCGUUAAAUAACAAAGUAGGUUGUAGUCGAUGGGGGGAUUAGGCAUUAGGAAGGAUUUCGUAGAUAGGGAGUUCGAUCCCACCGCGAGAGAUUAGAAAAUUUGCAGAACACCAAACCUUUUUUUUACAAAGAUUUUUUUUUCAAAAUUAUAUUUAGUAGUUUUAAUACCAAACCGUAGUUAUUUUAAACACUGUUAUUGUUGUAUCUGCCCCUUAUUAGAGUGAGCGUACACAUCAAGCAUUUACCAUAAAUUCAAUGUAUUACCAAUAUAUUGUAGUUAAACCAAUAUCAAUUUUCUUUUAAACAAAAAACGACGUGCAAUGUGUAUUAGAUUAACAUUUGGUGUGUUAAAACAAAUGCGUUUUUCUAUGUAUGUUUUACUGUUUAAAAACCGUUAAAAAAAACUACAAUAGAUUCUUCGCUACGUUCCGAAUCUAAAAGAUACGUGUACAUUUAUUAAACACAAGCCCGUGAGGAGCUCUACCCUCCAAAACCUUAAGUUACUACUUUCAUAUUUUAAAUGUAUUAAUUCCUAAUUUGUGUUAUUUUUAAUUCAGUGAUAUAUUUUUACACAUUUCAUCGGUGCAAACAUAACAUUUUUUCCUAGU